GCAAAAGUGGAGGAUGUGCAGCCGGAGACAGUGUCCCGCCAGGGCUCGUACGAUAUCGUGGCCAGAAGAGUGGUGCAGGACAGUGAUCUUGAGAUUCCCACAGUGUUCACCUGCGAGUUACGUAUUCCAGACGCCAACUACGCCGUCACGAAGAGCGUCUUCUACUAUCCUGGAAUGUUCAACCAGCCAAGCGACAGUGGUGACGCCCUCAGCUGCUACAGCCACUUCUGGAUGUCCCUACUGACGUCAUUGCUGACCGCCUACCAUAUCUGCUGCUGAGACCUGUGUGAAACUGGUUUGAAUUCGAAACGGCGGCCACUGUUAACUCCUGACUUCACCGCAGUGCGGCGCACUUCCUAAAAAUGGCGACACAGUGAUGAUGUGUCCAAACUAACAGGGUAAACCAUAGAGAAAAGCCCCACCAUGGAGAAAGGAAAAAAUAAACCAGUUGUUUUUUUCUCCCUAAUGCGAAUAUUGAUUAUACCUAAAUUGUUCUCAUAACGGCGUUAAAACUUUGAAAUCAGGAGUUCUUUUAGUAAUAGGUUAGUUUUAUGUCACAUUCCUCUGGUCUCCAGACUCUUCCAAAGAAUGAACUUUGUUCUAGUCUCAUAUUCUGAGACUGAGGGGAGUAAAACUCUUGCGUCAUCGGUGGAUAUGACGUAGUACUGCAGUUACCAUAGUAACCACAAUUGCGUCUUCUUCUUUUAAAUCAUUCUAUUACGUUUGGACAUCUGUUUUGCUUAUUUGGCUUUGUACAUAUAAAAAAUUACUAAAUGAUAUUUUUGAAGUUGUAUAUAAUUAGAGCCCCUUUUAACUGUAAGCUAAUUGAUUUUCUCAAACUACAGAAUUGUAUAAAAUAAAUGCCCGUAGUGUUAAAACUGGCAUUCCCUACCCUUGCCACAAUAUUAAAUCGGUUAUGUUUAUAUGUUUGCCAAAAACUUUCAUUCAUUUUUUAUUAGUGCUUCGACAGUUGGUGGCUAUUUCGAGUUAUUUGUUCGAGACCAAGGAUAAGAAACAUCUCCGAAAAUUGCACGACUUACGUCUCUGUAAAUUGUGUCACUGAUGCCUCUAUACAUGCCCCUAAGAUUUAAGUACACUCACUGAAUCGCACGUGACCUUAACGUUUGGUGCCAUUUACAUUGGCACUAAAACUGGAGAAGCGAUGGAAUCCAGAAAUGCAAACUCAUCUGCCAUUUAUCUCGAAGUGGUUAAGAAUGGUUCCCGCAUUGGAAGGCCGACGAAGAACCUAGAGAAUGAAAAGUAAUGUCUUCUUGGAUGCAAUGCAAUGAAGUCUGGUGGAUGUUCGCCGAAAUUUUAGAAGAAAUACUGCUUCCACUAUCAGGCCGACGACGAAGACAAGCAAAUAGCCAGCCAGAAGCAGGUGACUACUUCUGGCUGGCUAUUUGCUUUGUGUAGUGUUCCAUCUUGAAGACAGAGGCAGAAACAACGUUGAAAAUGUACGAGAAGUUCAGAAUAUGACUAAUAUGAGGAUAUCUGUCAAUAAGAACGUGAUAAACUACCUUGACUUAUACA